GCGGGCCAGCCCCAGCGCCCAGCGGCGCUGCCCGGUGCCGGCGCGGAGCCCGGGGCCAGCCGGGCCCGGCGGGGCUGGGACAGCUGCGGAGACGCGCUGCCACUUGCUGCUCCUCUGCCCUGACCCGAGCGGAACUGCCUUCCCAGCAGUGCCCCCUCCAGCCCUGCCCCUCCUCCUUUGAUUGCUCUCGUUUGGGAUCUCAUGACACAUUUCCCCAUCUGCUCUUAUCGGGCUGUGCAGGCAGAGCCCUUGGCCCCCACAACAACCUGCAAGGCGUCGGCAAGUUCUUUGUUCGGCUUCAGGUGCGGGGCUCUUUCGGCAGGAGGCCUUGGAAAAAUCAGCUGGCUUAGAGCGACAAGUGUGAGGAGCAGUUGCAGACAGUUUAUACAUCCUCCUCGGGGAAAAUAAACCUGUUAGUGUGCGCCAUAUGCUACAAAGAAGUGGCUCUCGGCCACGCAGCUGAAACGCUGGAGCCCUUCCUUGACUCUUUGUCUGCUUGUCUAUUUGUCUUCAAAGCAGGAGCCCCUUGCAGCUGACACUUCUUAAGUCCUGUUUACCAAAUAGUUGUGGACUUUGCAAAUAACGCAGAUAAAAAUUUUGGGUGUUGUUGGGAAUAAACAACAUCAUGUCUAGAUUAAUGGCAGGAUAAUGGACUUUGGAAAACUAUCUUGCCUGCCUGCCUAACUUUCAGAAAGUUGUUUUUCUCCAUUGGUGCAGUUUGCCUUUAAAAUCUCUCUAGUCUGUGCUUUGUUCUCACCCUUCUGACCAACUUCAGUCUGGCCCCUGUAUUGCUUGAUUAAAUUUCGUACUACUUCAUUCCCUACUGGAUAUGCUUUAGCUCUAAAAACAUGAUUCAGCACCAAAACCAAAGACUCCCAAUCUAAUUUUCCCUGAUGGUGUUUUCUAGUUUGCCUGGAUGGAUGAAAAUCCAUUGCUAGGAUUCUGGGCUCUCUGCAUCCUUUUUUAGUGACUGGUUACAGUUAUCCUCCUUGCUUAGAGGACCUGUAACAAAUUCCUGUAAGGAGCUUUUUAAAAUCCUCUCCCAUUGCUCAAUGUUUUGCAUCUGUGUGUAACCAGCAAUGUCGUGUACGGCUUAUUUUUCUGAAGUGUCAAGAAAUAUAAACUCCCAAAUGCAUUUCUGAGAUGCAAAGGCACAGGUCCCUGUGGUGCAGUCAGGAAUGGUGGUGUUAUCUCACCCGAUUUUAGUUUCCAGGUGCUGGGGUUAAUGCAGCUCUCACCUGAGGUGCUUUAUCCCCUCUGCCCAGCCCUGUGCAGCCUUGCUCAGAGGUUCCUCAUGGACCUGGUGCCCUGUGGGAGCCUGAAUUAUUGCUGGUGGUGGUUUUGUUUUGCAAGAGGACGAGUUCCUUGGCUGACUCAUGCCCCGGCAAUCAUCUCUCCUGGCUCGGUGUUCCCCGAAGUUCCGCAUAACAAAAGAAGAAGGAGCGAUCCCAUCUCAGCUCUCACUCUGCCUUUCAGUCUGGGGCGAGAUAAAGGAGCUCUGCUGGGAAGAGAUCUGAAGUUCACAAUCUGGAGUCUUUCUUCUGAGCUUUGAGCUGCAAUGAACCCACUCAGAGCUGCACCAGGAGCCAGCUCUGGCCGGCGCAGACAGUGAGGCUGCUGAAAUUCGAUUUCAGCACAGGAAGCGACACGACUGGGGCAAAUUCCUCAGCUUGAUAUUUAGGAGCAAAUGUAACAUCAUUGGUGGUUUGGCUGGGCUGCUCUUGUUCUGGGCUGGGCUCGGAGCAGUGGGAAGCACAGUGACAGAGGGGAUGUGCUAGGGCAGCCUCACUUCACCUGCCCAGGACAAUCUGGGGACGAGGGCUCAGCUUUGCCUUUCCCCCAGGCCAGUCCCUGCCUGUGUGGAUGUACAAACUCAGGGCUCUGUGCACAAGGAACUGCAGCAGAAAGCAGGAAAGGAACACAGUCCUUCCACCGAGCUCUGGCUAAAGAUUAACCUUGCUGACUAACUGAAUGCUGGGUAUGAAAAAUGUUAAAACUAAUACACUAAAAAAAAAAACAGGCUGUAUUUUUCCUCUCCACUGGCUGAUGGAGGGCAGUGUUGCCACCUGUUUGGGCCAGUAUUUUUAGAUAUUAAAUAAACCUGGUCUCUUUCUGUGGUACAGUACUGAGAAGUUAAUUCAGCUCUAUUAGAAAAGUCUAGAGCACAAAGUGAGUUAAUAACAGCUUUGAGUGUGUCCUUAAAGCUCUUUCACACCCACCCAGAACACAGAGAUAACAGUGUUUACUAUCACUUUGUAACUCUGGAUGACUAAAUCAAAAAGUAAUGAAAUGAGGCUGCCUGCUGUGUUCCUCUUUCCUCUUUCAUUUAUUCAUCUUUUUGUAAGAGAGCCCAGGGUCUGUGAUCCCCUCCUCUGGGAAAAGCAGGAGUAGGUUCCCCUCUGGGGGAAGCCUGGCUGCAUUUGGGGAGAUGUGGAGGCACGGAUGCUGCUCAGAUGUGGGGUUUCAGCUUUGCUCAGGACUCUGAAUUUAUCCUCCCCACUGAAUAAUCCUGUCCCCUCCAAACCCAGUGCAAUAUCCCUCUCUCUACCUGUACUGACAACAGACUGUAGAGCAAGGGAGGAAAAAGAGACAACAGCAGAGGAAGGAAACAGGGAUGCUGCUGGAAAUCAUUGGCCUUUGAAGACCUUUUUUAAAGUCUCUAUUAUUGCAAAGAUGAGCUUGCUAUAAACUCCCGAAUGGACAGGCAGAGCCUGAUGUGCAAGAGAAUGGGCCUGAGACAGUUUUCUAUUAUCUGGGAGAUUUCUGUCUUAAUAGAAGCUUUCAGAGCCAGCAUGAGAGUUGAGCUCUAAAAUUAUGCCCCCACAGGAACAUAGUGUGUUCUGAUGGAAAAAGCAAAUAAAUUGUUUUUUAUGAUAUUGGACACACAGAGUAUUAUUCUG